rnacentral:rRNA from 1 species
GGACUACAGGGGUUUCUAAUCCUGUUUGCUCCCCACGCUUUCGCGCCUCAGCGUCAGUAACGGGCCAGUGAGUCGCCUUCGCCACUGGUGUUCUUCCGAAUAUCUACGAAUUUCACCUCUACACUCGGAGUUCCACUCACCUCUCCCGCACUCUAGGCGCCCAGUAUCAAAGGCAGUUCCAGGGUUGAGCCCUGGGAUUUGACCUCUGACUUAAACGCCCGCCUACGCGCCCUUUACGCCCAGUAAUUCCGAGCAACGCUAGCCCCCUUCGUAUUACCGCGGCUGCUGGCAC